ensembl:miRNA
GCUGUCUCUUGCUGGCUGAUUUUAAUUCUCUCCUACCGGGAGCAGCAGAGGAUCUGGAGGUGGCUGGACCC